ACAACAGGGAUUGCCCUAGUAACGGCGAGUGAAGCGGCAACAGCUCAAAUUUGAAAUCUGGCUCUUUCAGAGUCCGAGUUGUAAUUUGCAGAGGGCGCUUUGGCUUUGGCAGCGGUCCAAGUUCCUUGGAACAGGACGUCACAGAGGGUGAGAAUCCCGUACGUGGUCGCUAGCUAUUGCCGUGUAAAGCCCCUUCGACGAGUCGAGUUGUUUGGGAAUGCAGCUCUAAAUGGGAGGUAAAUUUCUUCUAAAGCUAAAUAUUGGCCAGAGACCGAUAGCGCACAAGUAGAGUGAUCGAAAGAUGAAAAGCACUUUGGAAAGAGAGUCAAACAGCACGUGAAAUUGUUGAAAGGGAAGCGCUUGCAGCCAGACUUGCUUGCAGUUGCUCAUCCGGGCUUUUGCCCGGUGCACUCUUCUGCAGGCAGGCCAGCAUCAGUUUGGGCGGUGGGAUAAAGGUCUCUGUCACGUACCAUCCUUCGGGAUGGCCAUAUAGGGGAGACGUCAUACCACCAGCCUGGACUGAGGUCCGCGCAUCUGCUAGGAUGCUGGCGUAAUGGCUGUAAGCGGCCCGUCUUGAAACACGGACCAAGGAGUCUAACAUCUAUGCGAGUGUUUGGGUGUCAAGCCCGAGCGCGUAAUGAAAGUGAACGGAGGUGGGAACCCGCAAGGGUGCACCAUCGACCGAUCCUGAAGUUUACGGAAGGAUUUGAGUAAGAGCAUGGCUGUUGGGACCCGAAAGAUGGUGAACUAUGCUUGAAUAGGGUGAAGCCAGAGGAAACUCUGGUGGAGGCUCGCAGCGGUUCUGACGUGCAAAUCGAUCGUCAAAUUUGGGCAUAGGGGCGAAAGACUAAUCGAACUAUCUAGUAGCUGGUUCCUGCCGA
rnacentral:rRNA from 1 species